rnacentral:rRNA from 1 species
GAUGAACGCUGACGGCGUGCCUAAUACAUGCAAGUCGAGCGAAUGGAUUAAGAGCUUGCUCUUAUGAAGUUAGCGGCGGACGGGUGAGUAACACGUGGGUAACCUGCCCAUAAGACUGGGAUAACUCCGGGAAACCGGGGCUAAUACCGGAUAACAUUUUGAACCGCAUGGUUCGAAAUUGAAAGGCGGCUUCGGCUGUCACUUAUGGAUGGACCCGCGUCGCAUUAGCUAGUUGGUGAGGUAACGGCUCACCAAGGCAACGAUGCGUAGCCGACCGGAGAGGGUGAUCGGCCACACGGGGACUGAGACACGGCCCAGACUCCUGCGGGAGGCAGCAGUAGGGAAUCGUCCGCAAUGGACGAAAGUCUGACGGAGCAACGCCGCGUGAGUGAUGAAGGCUUUCGGGUCGUAAAACUCUGUUGUUAGGGAAGAACAAGUGCUAGUUGAAUAAGCUGGCACCUUGACGGUACCUAACCAGAAAGCCACGGCUAACUACGUGCCAGCCGCCGCGGUAA